rnacentral:misc_RNA from 1 species
GUAGGUGAACCUGCGGAAGGAUCAUUAAUAGAGCAAUGGACAGACAGCGCCCUGGGAGAAAUCCUGGGGGCUACCCAACUUCGGUAGGGUUUAGAGUCGUCAGGCCUCUCGGAGAAGCCUAGUCCAGACCUCCACCCUUGAAUAAAUUACCUUUGUUGCUUUGGCAGGGCGCCUCGCGCCAGCGGCUUCGGCUGUUGAGUACCUGCCAGAGGACCACAACUCUUGUUUUUAGUGAUGUCUGAGUACUAUAUAAUAGUUAAAACUUUCAACAACGGAUCUCUUGGCUCUC